UACAGAGGGUGCAAGCGUUGUUCGGAAUUAUUGGGCGUAAAGGGUGCGCAGGCGGGCUGGUAAGUCAGGAGUGAAAUCUCGGCGCUUAACGCCGAAACUGCUUUUGAUACUGCCAGUCUUGAAUCAGCGAGAGACGUGUGGAAUUCCGAGUGUAGCAGUGAAAUGUGUAGAUAUCGGGAGGAACACCAGUGGCGAAGGCGGCCUCUGGACCAGUACUGACGCUCAUGCACGAAAGCGUGGGGAGCAAACAGG
rnacentral:rRNA from 1 species